AGAGUUUGAUCCUGGCUCAGAACGAACGCUGGCGGCAGGCUUAACACAUGCAAGUCGAGCGCCCCGCAAGGGGAGCGGCAGACGGGUGAGUAACGCGUGGGAAUCUACCUUUUGCUACGGAAUAACUCAGGGAAACUUGUGCUAAUACCGUAUGUGCCCUUCGGGGGAAAGAUUUAUCGGCAAAGGAUGAGCCCGCGUUGGAUUAGCUAGUUGGUGAGGUAAAGGCUCACCAAGGCGACGAUCCAUAGCUGGUCUGAGAGGAUGAUCAGCCACACUGGGACUGAGACACGGCCCAGACUCCUACGGGAGGCAGCAGUGGGGAAUAUUGGACAAUGGGCGCAAGCCUGAUCCAGCCAUGCCGCGUGAGUGAUGAAGGCCCUAGGGUUGUAAAGCUCUUUCAACGGUGAAGAUAAUGACGGUAACCGUA
rnacentral:rRNA from 1 species